UUUUCAAAUUAACUUGUUAAUUUUAGUCGUAUACAGAAGCAAGUGGUCCGUAUUGGCUUUUUUAUAAAUGCUUGGGCAAAUCUUGCACAAAAAUCGCACAAUACCAAAAUAUUUUGGUCUCGAUGGGAAGUAUGGACGAAAAACUGGAAUAUAUGUCCCAGAAGACAUCAGUAAAGAUGAAAACGGUUUUGACGAUGUGGCAGAAUUUUUCGACCGAGCUCAACGAAUUCAAUCUGUUUCUGCUUCCUUUGUACGCCCUUGUGAAGAAUUUAUUCCAAAUAACAGUAAGAGUGACUGUGAACAGAUUUCUCAUUCUUUAGCGGAAAUAGCUAAUAAAGUUUUCAUUCAGAACAACUUGCCUUCUGGUGACCAGAUUGCUGGACUUGAGACAGAAGCUGCGCUUGAGGCACCACCCUCACCUUUAAGCGGCUCAAACAGAAACGUUUCCGAUCUUUUUACAUCUAUAGAAGAUUCUACACCAAGCGACUUGGCUUCUGGUGUUCGGAUUGACAAAGUUGAGGCGGAAUCUGCGCUUGAGGCAUCAUCCUUGCCUAUAAGCGGCACAAAAAGAAACGUCUCCGAUCUUUUUACUUCUCUGGAGAAUUUAUUGGAUCUCACUGUCGGAAAUGUUUCUUUUUGCGAGGAGGACGUGGAAGCUUCACUUUUUUCCGCGAAUGUUUUGCCAUCUGACACCGAGGUGCUGGAAACCCCAAUGAAGGUAACGGUUACCACGAAUGUUUUACAACCUGACACAGAGGUGCUGGAAACUCCAAUGAAGGCAAAAGACACUUUAGUCCUAGCGCAGAAAAAAAAACGGGCGUACAAGUAUAUUGAGGCCCCUCCAGGCUCACCAGAGCCCGUCGAGCACGAGCUCGACGAGACUUUCUAUCCAUGUGACUCUAGCAGCAGUGACGAAUCCACACCAAGUGAAUCGCUCCGUGGCAGCGCCUUGCCUCCUAUUGCUUUACGACGCAUCAAACGAAAUACCAUCCAGCCUUUAAAGUAUUGGAAGUGCGAAUACGCAAAAAUGGAAAAACGCCAAUCCGGCGGCGUAAUCAUAAAAGAAGCCGUCCGAGUACCAGACACGCCACCAAUCUAUAUGGGGCGAAGGGCGACAAAAAAGUUGGCCCCCACUGUGGUUGAGCAGUUGAGGAAGGCUGGCCUCGAAGGAGAAAAGAUAUUGGUCAAAACUCCAGACGGCACAUCGCUCGAAGAGGUUGUACGUGUUUCUGCUUCUUUUAUAUUUGAUAAGGAUUCCGAAAAAAGUCAAGUACUGCAGGCGUUCAACACGUGUCGUUUUGCUUCUGGCAUUUUGGUUCUUCCGCCAGAAACUGCAAAGGAAAGUCAGAAUUCUAAAACAAACACGAUACACCACUUUUCCACGAGAUAUUUCACGUGCUUGCUGGAAAACUUGAAGUCUUUUUGAACGGCACCGUUUUUACUCUGCACAACGGCUGCCACUUUUAUGUCCCGCCAGGUAACGACUACGUUCUUUUGAACAAGACGAGGUCCAGAAUUAAAUUAAUGUACUGCCAAAUUAAAUAAUAAAUUG